GCCGAUGUAGCUCAGUUGGUAGAGCAGCUGAUUUGUAAUCAGCCGGUCGGCGGUUCGAGUCCGUUCAUCGGCUCCA
rnacentral:tRNA from 2 species